AGAGUUUGAUCAUGGCUCAGGACGAACGCUGGCGGCGUGCUUAAAACAUGCAAGUCGAGCGACCCGACUCCCCGACGCAAGCGGGGAAAUCGGGGAGCGGCGGACGGGUGAGUAACACGUGGGCAACCUACCCUAAUGACCGGGAUAACCCCGAGAAAUCGGGGCUAAUACCGGAUAUUCAGGCUACUGGGCAUCCACUGGCCUGGAAAGGUCCCCUCGUUAGGGAUGCAUUGGGAUGGGCUCGCGGCCUAUCAGCUAGUCGGUGAGGUAACGGCCCACCGAGGCGACGACGGGUAGCCGGCCUGAGAGGGCGGCCGGUCACAUUGGGACUGAGACACGGCCCAGACUCCUACGGGAGGCAGCAGUUGGGAAUCUUGCGCAAUGCCCGAAAGGGUGACGCAGCGACGCCGCGUGGGUGAUGAAGGCCUUCGGGUCGUAAAGCCCUGUUGGUGGGGAAGAAGCUCUGACAGGUAACCCACUGAGGAAGCCCCGGCUAACUACGUGCCAGCAGCCGCGGUAAUACGUAGGGGGCGAGCGUUGUCCGGAUUUAUUGGGCGUAAAGCGCACGCAGGUGGCUUUUCAAGUCGGAUGUGAAAUCUCUUAGCAAAACUAAGAAAUUGCAUCCGAAACUGGAUUGCUUGAGGUCGGGAGAGGAGAGUGGAAUUCUCGGUGUAGCGGUGAAAUGCGCAGAUAUCGAGAAGAACACCAUUAGCGAAGGCGGCUCUCUGGAACGAUACUGACACUAAGGUGCGAAAGCUAGGGUAGCAAACAGGAUUAGAUACCCUGGUAGUCCUAGCUGUAAACGAUGGGCACUGGAUGUAGGAAGAUAUCGAUUCUUCUGUGUCGUAGCUAACGCGUUAAGUGCCCCGCCUGGGGAGUACGACCGCAAGGUUAAAACUCAAAGGAAUUGACGGGGACCCGCACAAGCGGUGGAGCAUGUGGCUCAAUUCGAUGCAACACGAAGAACCUUACCAGGGCUUGACAUGCUGGUGGAACUAGUAGAAAGGGGAACGACCCUUCGGGGAGCCAGAACAGGUGGUGCAUGGCUGUCGUCAGCUCGUGUCGUGAGAUGUUGGGUUAAGUCCUACAACGAGCGCAACCCUUAUCCCAUGUUGCUAACAUUAAGUUGAGGACUCUUGGGAGACUGCCGGUGUUAAACCGGAGGAAGGUGAGGAUGACGUCAAGUCAGUAUGCCCUUUAUGUCCUGGGCUGCACACGUGCUACAAUGGUUUAUACAAUGAGAUGCAAGACUGUGAAGUGGAGCAAAUCUCAAAAAGUAAGCCUAAGUUCGGAUUGAAGUCUGAAAUUCGACUUCAUGAAGUCGGAAUCGCUAGUAAUCGCGGAUCAGCUAUACCGCGGUGAAUACGUUCCCGGGUCUUGUACACACCGCCCGUCACACCACGAAAGUUGGGACCACCAGAAGCCAGCGUGCUUAACCUGUAAGGGAGGUAGCUGUCGAAGGUGGGCUUGAUGAUUGGGGUGAAGUCGUAACAAGGUA
rnacentral:rRNA from 1 species